GAGGUAUACCGAUUAUUAAGGAAGCUGCUAACUUACCUUUAAAGCGGUUAAACUCCGUUUAUACCUCU
rnacentral:tRNA from 1 species